rnacentral:tRNA from 1 species
AUCCGAUAUGGUCUAGUGGCUAGGAUUUGCCGCUCUCAUUCAACAGAGUCAAAACACGUUAGUGCCGGCAAGGCCCGGGUUCGAUUCCCGGUGUCGGAAA